rfam:Homo sapiens chromosome 6 genomic contig, GRCh38 reference assembly alternate locus group ALT_REF_LOCI_2.
AGAAAGGCUUUAUUCAGAGCCACUCAUAUACUGAGAACUAACCUC